AAACUACUCCCUCCGUUCGAAUUACUUGUCGCAGGUAUGGAUAUAUCUAGAUGUAUUUUAGUUCUAGAUACAUCCAUUUCUGCGACGAGUAAUUUGGAACGGAGGGAGUAUGAA
rnacentral:pre_miRNA from 1 species